rnacentral:rRNA from 11 species
UUUAAAGAGUGCGUAAUAGCUCACUGGUCGAGUAGUCAUGCGCAGACAAUGUAACGGGGCUAAGCGGUAUACCGAAGCCACGGAAUCAUACCGUAGGGUAUGGUUGGUAGGGGAGCAUUCCAUGGACCGACGAAGGUGGCCCGUGAGGGUAGCUGGAGGGGAUGGAAGAGAGAAUGCAGGUAUAAGUACACGAAAAGACAGGUGAGAUUUCUGUCCGCC